UCCAUUGUGAUGUAGUGGUUUGAAUGUUGGACUAUGACUCUGGAGAUCAAGGUUCAAUUCCCACUGGAG